rnacentral:lncRNA from 1 species
GGGGAGUAUCACAAGCUCUCCCGGCACUUCUGUCGCUUUGGCCAGAAGUCGUCAAAAUUCAAGGGAAGAGUAUCACAAACUCUCCCAAUACUUCUGUCGCUUCGGCCAGAAGUCAUCAUACUUUGGGAGGGAGUAUCACAAGCUCUCUCCAUCAUUAAAGGUUCCGAGUUUCAAGGCAACCUUGGAGUGUCGAGUAUUUGUGAUCGGUCGUUUACCGACUAUCACAUAAAUCGAAAAACACUCAUCACAAAAAGUUGCGCAUCAUCAAAGCACAACCUUCGGGGGGAGUAUCACAAGCUCCCCCGGCACUUCUGUCGCUUCGGCCAGAGGUCGUCGAA